rnacentral:rRNA from 1 species
GACGAACGCUGGCGGCGUGCUUAACCCAUGCCAGUCGAACGGAAAGGCCCUGCUUUUGUGGGGUGCUCGAGUGGCGAACGGGUGAGUAACACGUGAGUAACCUGCCCUUGACUUUGGGGUAACUUCAGGAAACUGGGGCUAAUACCGGAUAGGAGCUCCUGCUGCAUGGUGGGGGUUGGAAAGUUUCGGCGGUUGGGGAUGGACUCGCGGCUUAUCAGCUUGUUGGUGGGGUAGUGGCUUACCAAGGCUUUGACGGGUAGCCGGCCUGAGAGGGUGACCGGCCACAUUGGGACUGAGAUACGGCCCAGACUCCUACGGGAGGCAGCAGUGGGGAAUAUUGCACAAUGGGCGGAAGCCUGAUGCAGCAACGCCGCGUGCGGGAUGACGGCCUUCGGGUUGUAAACCGCUUUCGCCUGUGACGAAGCGUGAGUGACGGUAAUGGGUAAAGAAGCACCGGCUAACUACGUG